rnacentral:rRNA from 1 species
AUGAACGCUGGCGGCGUGCCUAAUCCCUGCCAGUCGAGCGAACGGACGAGAAGCUUGCUUUUCUGAUGUUGGCGGCGGACGGGUGAGUAACACGUGGAUAACCUACCUAUAAGACUGGGAUAACUUCGGGAAACCGGAGCUAAUACCGGAUAAUAUUUUGAACCGCAUGGUUCAAAAGUGAAAGACGGUCUUGCUGUCACUUAUAGAUGGAUCCGCGCUGCAUUAGCUAGUUGGUAAGGUAACGGCUUACCAAGGCAACGAUGCAUAGCCGACCUGAGAGGGUGAUCGGCCACACUGGAACUGAGACACGGUCCAGACUCCUACGGGAGGCAGCAGUAGGGAAUCUUCCGCAAUGGGCGAAAGCCUGACGGAGCAACGCCGCGUGAGUGAUGAAGGUCUUCGGAUCGUAAAACUCUGUUAUUAGGGAAGAACAUAUGUGUAAGUAACUGUGCACAUCUUGACGGUACCUAAUCAGAAAGCCACGGCUAACUACGUG